CCUACGGGGGGCAGCAGUGAGGAAUAUUGGUCAAUGGACGAGCGUCUGAACCAGCCAAGUAGCGUGAAGGAUGACUGCCCUAUGGGUUGUAAACUUCUUUUAUAUGGGAAUAAAAUGUUCCACGUGUGGGAUUUUGUAUGUACCUUAUGAAUAAGGAUCGGCUAACUCCGUGCCAGCAGCCGCGGUAAUACGGAGGAUCCGAGCGUUAUCCGGAUUUAUUGGGUUUAAAGGGAGCGUAGGUGGAUUGUUAAGUCAGUUGUGAAAGUUUGCGGCUCAACCGUAAAAUUGCAGUUGAGACUGGCAGUCUUGAGUACAGUAGAGGUAGGCGGAAUUCGUGGUGUAGCGGUGAAAUGCUUAGAUAUCACGAAGAACUCCGAUUGCGAAGGCAGUUCACUAGACUGCAACUGACACUGAGGCUCGAAAGUGUGGGUAUCAAACAGGAUUAGAUACCCGAGUAGUC
rnacentral:rRNA from 1 species